UGGUCUCCGCACCAGAAACAGCCAGACGCUCAGCAGACCCAGAGGGAUCUCUUUCCUCCUGAAUGGAUUCAACCUUCAGCAUGUUGUUUUUACUCCUGUUUGCCAGCUGGUUGGCCUCUUGUGCUUCAGAGACAGUGAUAAUAUUCUUUCAAACAGCUAUCAAAUCCCAACAUGAGCUGAAUGAAACUACGCUUGCUCUACUCUUAAAGCAGCUUCGGGGAAUCAUCCAGGGACAUCAACCAAACGCUGACUUCAGCCUCACGCUCAGGAACGUCACCAAAGUCUGAAACUGUACAUAUUUCUCUCCCAUUACUUUGAGAUAAAAAAG